AACGAACGUUGGCGGCGUGGAUUAGGCAUGCAAGUCGUACGCGAAAGAGGGAGCAAUCCCUUGAGUAAAGUGGCGAACGGGUGAGUAACGCGUAGGAAACCUGCCUUCGAGAUGGGGAUAACAUUCCUAACGGGGUGCUAAUACCGAAUGACACUGCGAAAUCGCAUGGUUUUGCAGUCAAAGGUGGCCUCUGCUUGCAAGCUACCACUCGAAGAUGGUCCUGCGUCCCAUAGCUAGUUGGCGGGGUAAUGGCCCACAAGGCGACGAUGGGUAGCCGAUCUGAGAGGAUGACCGGCCACACUGGGACUGAGAUACGGCCCAGACUCCGUAGGGAGCAGCAGUCGAGAGGCUUCGGCAAGUGGGGAAACCCUGACCGAGCGACGCCG
rnacentral:rRNA from 1 species